rnacentral:rRNA from 1 species
GAUGAACGCUGGCGGCGUGCCUAAUACAUGCAAGUCGAGCGAAUGGAUUAAGAGCUUGCUCUUAUGAAGUUAGCGGCGGACGGGUGAGUAACACGUGGGUAACCUGCCCAUAAGACUGGGAUAACUCCGGGAAACCGGGGCUAAUACCGGAUAACAUUUUGAACCGCAUGGUUCGAAAUUGAAAGGCGGCUUCGGCUGUCACUUAUGGAUGGACCCGCGUCGCAUUAGCUAGUUGGUGAGGUAACGGCUCACCAAGGAAACGAUGCGUAGCCUACCUGAGAGGGUGAUCGGCCACACUGGGACUGAGACACGGCCCAGACUCCUCCGGGAGGCAGCAGUAGGGAAUCUUCCGCAAUGGACGAAAGUCUGACGGAGCAACGCCGCGUGAGUGAUGAAGGCUUUCGGGUCGUAAAACUCUGUUGUUAGGGAAGAACAAGUGCUAGUUGAAUAAGCUGGCACCUUGACAGUACCUAACCAGAAAGCCACGGCUAACUACGUGCCAGCAGCCGCGGUAA